rnacentral:lncRNA from 1 species
UAGUUUUUUAAGUUUAUUAAGAUGGUUUGAUCUAUAUACAUAUUUCGGCAAAUAAAGGGCGGCAUAUAUAUAUAUAUAUAUUUUGAGAGAUAGUUAGUAUGCUAUCCGCUUCGUUUAUUUCAUUUAAAAAAAAAUUUAUUAGAAAAUGUGAAUCAACUAUAAUUCGAAUUUGAAUUUCAGAUGCAAACCACCAAGUUCUUUACCACUUGCUCUCGGUUGUCAACCACCAAAUUUUUUUUUAAUAAUAUUAUUAUUAUGUAACGCCCAUGCUUUUGAUUUGAGGAACUGAUCACAGCAAUCGGACGGCUAUUUAUAUCCCGAAAUUAAUAAACAGCAAUUUCUAAAAAAAAAAAAGAAAAAAAAAACUAUAACGGAAUCUAAUAUUAUCCCAAUAAACUCUUGUUUUCCGUACGAUAUCUUAGGCCGAGAUAUUUCCGAUCGCUUUCGAAAGAAGCAAGGGGGUGUGGUGACUGGUGAGGACUGAGGAGUGCGGUGGGGCCCACCGUGCGACUGUUCACGCGCGCGAAUCCAGCGGCGCCUCGAGAUUCCCCGCGCCCCCGCGCGCGGAUCCUCCCCUCCAUCCAUCCCACCACAGGAAACACGUGCCACGCGACAAACACGCAAACACCUAUUAAAUUACUUCACGUACUCCACUCUCCCCUCUCUAACGGCCACGUGGCCCACUACUCACCCUUAACCCAUGCCUUUUCUUUUCUUUUCUUUUCUUUUCUUUUCUUUUUUUUUUACUUUUUUUGCAUAACGGGAUAAUUGCGCUGUAAAAUUAUUUCAGUUGUAUAAAAAAAGCUGUAAAAUUGGCCUUGUCAAAUACUAAAUUACAACAUUCAAAAAUAUCUAAUUCUAUUUAAUCCAAAUAUCUAUUAAAGCUUUUAUCUUUAUAUAAUAUUUGACCCACAUGUUAUUCUCACAAGUGUGCUUCACUAUUUUUAGAUUAUUUCCAGAGUUCCAAGUGUUUUUUUUUUUUUUUUUUUACCCCAAAAUUAUCUCAUUGUGAGUUUAUAAUGGAGCAAAUAAAAUCUCCAAAAAAAAAGAUACAUCUAAACAUCCAAACCGGAAUUUGUUUUUAAUACUUAAAAGAUAAAAUUUUAAUAAAAGAAUCCCUAUAGAGGUUGAACGCUGGUUGUGAAAUUUACACGUAGCAAAAUACGUGUGCCCACUGGUCGGUUAACGAAAGAGACCAACUUUUUCAGAAUUACUAAAGAGGGGUUUAAAUCGAAAAAUAUUCGCGAAUUUAACCAAUUUUGGAAAGGCUUUCACUUUCGAGCGCUAGGAUUAACGGAAAUGUGUGUCCGUAUCCGGCGCUGGAUUUUCCCAGCCCGCUGCGGCGUCGCCCUUUGUAGUACGAGUAUAAACCCUAGACCCCAUAUCGCCCUUUCUCUCAAUCGAUCCGCGCCGUUAGAUUACGAUCGAGCGUUAGAGACAGAGCGAGCCGUUGUGAUUAUCAGGGCCCCGGGCACACUUGUGUGUCGCACUAUUCCUAACCUUUUUCUCCUCUCUCUCUCUCUCUCUCUCUCUCUCUCUCUCGCCCCUUCUCUGCUAUUUGCGGAGGAUUUUAAUGGCGAUUUGAAGCUACAAUGGCGGCGACGACGGAGCACUGGAGAUCGAUACGGGCUCUCUUUUGGAACUUUUAAAGCUGAAGUCGUUUUAAUCGUUUGUAUGAUCGCCUGGCGAGCUUCAAAACAAGUGUUUUUUUUGGGGGGGUGGAAAUGGUGGAUUUAAUAGGAUUGUUGGGUAAAAACUCGAUCUGUUUGGCUUAGACUAGUGUUUUGUGUGCUUCAAAUCGAGCUCUUUUUAGCUUUCGAGCUUCGAAAUUUGCUUGGAUUAGAACUAGUUCAAAUCUGCUUCUGAAAUGGUAAGUGAGAGCACAGUAACGAUGCUAUCGGAGUUAGGGUUUAAAGAUGCGUACAAUAGGGGGGCGGUGGGGUUGUUGCUCCGUGAGCAGGGGAGGGAGGGGGCGAACGAUCCAACGGUGGAGCUCGACCGUUGCCGCAGCGGCUCCGCGCCGCCGACCGUUGAGGGCUCUCUGAGCGCCGUCGAAGGCCUCUUCCGGAACCCUAACGGCGCCUUAACGGAGGAGGAGCUUCGUUCGGAUCCGGCCUACCACUCUUACUACUACUCCCACGUGAAUCUAAACCCUAGGCUCCCGCCGCCUCUUAUUUCCAAAGAGGAUCGGGGAUCCACGCAGAGGUUUGAGGCGGGGAGAAGAGGGCUCGGAGGGAUUGGGGAUGGGAGGAGGUCGAAGAUGGUUGGCGAUGGCGUCGGAAAAGCGCUUUUGGGAAAGCAGUUAGGGUUUGAUUCAGAGAAGUGGUUGGAUAAGGAAGGGGAUGGGUUGAUCGGGCUCCCGGGGAUUGAGCUCGGUCGUCACAAGAGCUUCACUGGAAUAUUUCAGGUGAUCUCUAUGAUUCAGAUUUUAAUAAUAAUCUAUAUGAUUUGUGUAUCAUUGUUUCUGUUUCUCCAUUUACCUUAUUUAAUCCUAAUAUUUGCAUAUUAUGAGAUAGCUAUAUGUAUAUGUCAUGUCAUAUUUCUAUUUCUCUAUUUCAAUUAUGUUAACGAAUACUGCUGUAAAAAAUUUGAUUUUUUAAGCUUAAAAUUCUCAAUUUAUGUUGCUAUCAGUCAAUGUCCAUUCAUUUCGGUUUGUGAUAAUGCUACGUCUCUUUUCAUCUUCUCUUUGAAUUGAAUUGCUUUUAAGUUGAAAUAUCUGGAUAAAGCGACCUGGAUUAUUUGUAUGGUCUAAUUAAUAAUUCAUAUGCCGAGUCUUUUAAAUGAAUUGCUUUAAGUUGAAAUAUCUGGAUAAAGCGACCUGCAUUAUCUGUAUGGUCUAAUUAACAAUUCAUAUGGUGAGUAUUUUUUAAAAGCAAACUGCUGAAACAUCCCACACCCUUGAAUUCCUGCAGGUCAUUAUUCUCUUGUGAAUCUUGUUAAAUAAAAGUAUUGUCUACUGGAACUUAUCUGCCUGUUUUUAGCAUGUAUCUAAGUGUUACUCGCUUAUUUACUUUUACUAAUAUAUAGGAUAACAGUAAGAUAUUGCUUAGUGGAAUCUUCUGAGAUUAGUACUUCUUAAUGUAACGUUUGUUCGCUAAGGUUGUACUGCAAUUGUAUACAAUUCUUUUCUUUUUUCUUUUCUCCGUUCAUCAGCCUGAAGGUGGCUGUUCUUAUUCUAAUUUUUCAUUUAGUGUGUAUUUUCCAUCUGUUUUAUUAGAUUUAUUCGACACCUUCCUCUUAUAUUUAUGGUAUAAUGACUGAUUUAUACCCAGGAUGACUUUUCUCACGCCAGCCAUCUAUCUGGUCCCGAUGACCGAAGUUCAAGUGUGAAUGUUGCUAGCAGCGACCAAAGCGAAGUUGCGUUUCAAAAAAAUGGCUCUUCAACAUAUCAUUCAUUUGCUUCUAUUUUAGGCCCAUCUAUUUCAAGAAGUGCUUCUACUGAUCCUCAGCAGAUAAAAAGGGCUUCUAGUCCUUGCCUUCCACCUAUUGGUGUGAGACUUGGUCCAAAUGUUAAGAAUAAUAACAACGGUACCCAAUCCUUCAAUUGUGGUCAACCUGAUAUUGCCGAAUCUGAUGAGGUCAUGGCUUCUUUUUCUAGCAUGAACUUGUCAGCAACUCAAUCAGUUAAUGAAAACAUCAUUCAGCAGUCUAAGUUUCCUCGGGGAACUGCGGAUCAUCACGAUUUUCUUCAUAAUCAUCAAGGGGAUCAAAACAGUAUAAAGCAUUUUAAUAUUCCAAAUUUAAUGAAAUUAUCAAAUCUUGACUUGGCUAAGGAUACUGGAGGCCUAAUGGAAUCUAGCAAUUUAGCAUUGAGGGAACCAUCUGCAUCUCUAGUUUCUAGCCCAGGCGAUUCUCCUCAAAUUUUAAAUGGAAAUGGUCCAUACUCUGCUUAUACAAGCUACAGGCCAGCUGGGUAUUCACCUAACAACCCUAGCAAUUUUGCACCUCUUUUUGGAAGUCCUUUUGGAAGUCCUUUUGGAACUGGUAUUGCGUCUCCUAUUUUGGCUCCUGGGUCACCAGGAGGGGGCUCGUUUUCUAUACCAAAUCUAGCUGCUCUUCAAAUGAAUGUUGAUCCACUUCAUAAUCAGAUUGGCAAUACUUACCUUGACUCUUUGCUUCAGCUACAAAAUCAAUAUGGCGUACCAGUUAUUACUAAGAACUUAGACAGUGGCUUUUGUAAAAGUGCUGCUUUUGGCUAUGCUUAUCCUGGAAGCCCUUUAUCUAGUCCUCUUCUCCCUGCUUCUCCAGUUGGAGCUCUUAGGCAGAGUGAACGCAGCUUACAAUUCCCAACUGGCACAAGGAACAUGGCUGGAGGUGUUAUGGGUUCUUGGUAUUCUGGUGUAAAUGUUAGCAUGAACGACAAUUUAAUGCCCUCACUUUUGGAGGAGUUUAAGAGCAACAAGACCAAAUGUUAUGAACUCUCAGAUAUUGCUGGCCAUGUGGUUGAGUUCAGGUAUGCACCACUAUCAUAUAGGCCCAAAAUCUUAUUACAUUGUCUUUAUUGACAUAUAGCCAUUAUUUUCAUUAAAUAUUACCUUAGACAAACUAUGUCUACUUAUCCAAUGAUUAAAUAUCUUACGUCCAGCGCGGAUCAGUAUGGAAGCCGAUUCAUACAGCAAAAACUAGAGACAGCUACAACUGAGGAGAAAGACAUGGUCUAUGAAGAAAUCAUGCCUCGAGCACUUAAAUUGAUGACUGAUGUAUUUGGAAACUAUGUGGUCCAAAAGGUACUUAUUUCUAUAAAAGAGUCAUGAUGCAUUAACUUGAGAUAUUUAGCCUUCAUAAUAAAUGCUCCCCCCCCCCCCCUCUGUGACUCCAGUUUUUUGAGCAUGGAAGUGCUGUUCAGAGAAGAGAAUUGGCUGAUCAGCUCACCGGACAUGUGCUGGCUCUCAGUCUUCAGAUGUAUGGAUGUCGAGUUAUCCAAAAGGUAUGGAUUUCCUUUGCUUCUAAUAAAACAUGACUCUACCUUCGCUCCUAAUAUGACAUGACUCUAUUCAAAAACCGAUUUAUAUGCAGGCAAUAGAGGUUGUUGACUUAGAUCAGCAGAAAAACAUGGUUGCUGAGCUGGAUGGCCAUGUUAUGCGCUGUGUACGGGAUCAAAAUGGAAACCAUGUGAUACAAAAGUGUAUUGAGUGCGUUCCAGAAGACGUGAUCCAAUUUAUUAUCUCAACAUUCUAUGGCCAAGUUGUGAUGCUAUCCACCCAUCCCUAUGGCUGUCGUGUUAUACAGGUGUGCUUUCAAGUGUUUAUAUGUAAGUUAUUCUAUGUGAGCCGUUGAGUUAUACCAUAUGAAUAUGGUCGAUGCAGAGGGUUUUGGAGCAUUGUCAUGACCCUGAAACUCAGCAAAUAAUGAUGGAUGAGAUUCUUCAAUCGGUCUGCUUGUUGGCUCAAGACCAGUAUGGUAACUAUGUAGCUCAGGUUAGUAUGAGCUUUUAAUGCUUUGUUACACUGGUGAUUGAUUUGUUUGAAGCCUCUUAAUCUUCUACUCUGUUUCGGAAUUGUUCUGCAAAACCCAGUCUUUUCACAAUGUAGCGCCAAUAUUACUGAUAGAUUAUAGAUCUUGUUUUGUCUUCAACCGACUUACAAGUUCAUCAAAUUUGAAGCCCAUUUUUGAAUCUAAAAUAGUGUUCUAGUUUAUUGCAUGCCGCUGUAUGUUGAAAAGGGAUAUAAAAAUGUGAUGAUUAUAUGUGGAGGCCAUCCCUGUGAGUAUGAAUUUGCUUGUAUAUUGUGUAAUUUUUCUUUUCAUCUUAGUUUGCUUGUGAUUAUUUUUUCAUGAGUCAUACUCUAAACUGCCACAGCAUGUUCUGGAACACGGAAAACCUGUGGAGAGAUCUACUAUUAUCAAGAAGUUAACCGGACAGAUAGUGCAGAUGAGCCAACAGAAGUUUGCUUCUAAUGUUAUUGAGAAGUGUUUAGCUUUUGGUGACCCUAUAGAACGCCAGAUUUUGAUAAAUGAAAUUCUUGGAUCUGACGAUGAAAAUGAACCUCUUCAGGUUUGAAUUUUUUUCUUUUUCCUGAAUUACAAAACCUCUUUUUAGCUGAGUUAGUUCACAUAAUUUUUUUUUCUGAUAUUUUCUCAUACUUUGAUGUUGACUAGAUUGGGACGAAAAAGAACUAUACAUAUUGAAACUUCAUCUUUUUUUGCGAACUGAAUGACUGUAUUUGAAACAUUGUUUUUGCAACAGGAAAUUGCUUAUUGGUUUCAUGAUAGCAUUCUUUCAUUUACAAGAUUCAUUUAUUUUCAAGAGAUCAUAAGAAUAGCUGAUUGCCUGACAUGAUAUUUGUUUUUAUAUAGGUAAUGAUGAAGGAUCAAUUUGCAAACUAUGUUGUGCAAAAGGUGCUGGAGACUUGCGAUGAUAGUCAGAGAGAGCUGAUCCUGACACGGAUAAAGCUCCAUUUAAAUGCACUGAAAAAAUACACUUAUGGAAAGCAUAUCGUUGCUCGUGUGGAGAAGCUUGUUGCAGCUGGAGGUAUGUAUGACCUAUCUAUGUUAAGUUUUUAUGGCAAAAGCCACCUAUCUAUGUUAAGUUUUUAUGGCAAAAGCCAUUUUUAUGUCUUUGUUUAUGUGCCUUUUUGGCAAUAUAUUUUGAUCAAACGGGUUUAUCUAUGGGCAGUCCCAGAUUGCAAUUUGGUCCUUUAUCUUUCAGUUAAACAAAUUGCUCGCCGAAUCUAAUUUCUUGCAUUUUCCAUCUAAAAUUUUGAAGUUUCCUGGAGCUGACCGUAUAAAUAGAUGUGUCCAGGGAUGACAUUGCUUAGUGAAACAUGGCAAGUUCAGGGCCUAAUUUGUUUAAGCAAAAUUUCACAGACUAUAUUACAAUUCAUUGAGAGGAAGGGGAUUCCCUUUGCACUUACCUUUGGUCAAAGAAUGGAUUGAUAUUUGGUUUUCUCACUUUCUGUUAGUUGUUUUUUCCUAACCAGAUUAUCUCUCGAGAUCUGUAAUAAUUUCUCUCAUUUUUUACGUGCAGAACGGAGAAUUGGAGCUCAGGCAUCAUAUACCUCCUGAAAAGAAACAAACGGAAUGUUUCACAGUAACAGUUUAGGCACCCUUUUUGUUUAUCUAUCUAUAUAAGAUUAGUACAAGCUCGUCGGGAAAUUAGACAGUUUUUUCUGCUGGAAAGUGUAUUGUAUAUUUAGUCGUUUAUAUUGUAGUGUAUAAUGCCAAGGCCGCAGUCUCCGCGGAGUAGAUAGUUUAUCUGUACAAGUUGUUAUGGGUGUAAAGAAAGAGAUAAAGAGGAAAGAAGAGUAGAGAACAUAUAUAUGUUAGUAGGAGUGUACAAAUGUUGCGGAGUGGAGAUCACAGAGAGAGAGAGAGAGAGCUGUUGUUUUAAGUGAGGGUGAUAUUUCCUCUUGUUUCUUGUAGGAUUUUGUUGUCCUUGUGUUGUACUCUUUUACUUUCGAAGUUGCUGUCUUGUAGAUGUAUGUAUACUAAGCUUUAUCUUCAUGUUCAUGACUUUGUAGUUUCAAGUAUAAAUCUGAUCCUUCCAAUAAUGGUUUGCACCAUCCGUUAUAACUCUGUUUUUUUGUUUCUUUAGAUUGCGGAGAUUUGCGAGUGUUGUAUAGUUAUAAUAGCAAAUUGACUGAAACUCUAAUUUAGUAAGCACUUCGAUUCGGUUGCUCCAUCCGAAACUAUCAUUUAAUCCCACUUUGGAUUUGUUUAUGUUAUAUAUAUUUGAAGUGUAGAGUUAUUAUGUUAUCGGAUAUAUAAAAAAAUUGGGAUAAUUUCAAAAACUUCUCUUGUAGUUUCGCAUUUUUUCACUUUAGUAUCCUGUAAUUUAAAGUGUAUCAAUUUGCCCGUGGUUUCGUUUUUCUCCUUUUUUUUUUAUCAAUUUUAUUAUUAUUAUUUUUAAUCAGUGAUAAAAUUAAAAUUAAAAGAUAAUAAAGUAAAUAUUCAGUAAAUUUAGAAUGGUAUAUAAAAUUUUUUGUAUAUAAUUUAAUGAAAUAUUAAAAAAAAAAGGUAUAGAAAAGAUAAAAACAAAAUCACAUGGGGACAAAUUGAUAUACUUUAAACCACAGGGUACUAAAGUGAGAAAGUGUGAAACCAUAAGGGGUCUUUUAAAGUUUUCCCUAAAAAAUUUAAUAUUUUUGACUUUUUGACUGUUAAAUUAUUUAUAAUUUUUAAAUUAAUAUUAUUAUUUUAUGGAGAUUAUUCAAUUCUAAAGAAAUCAUUCAAUUUGAAAGAGAAUUGUAAUUAUUUCAGUCGUAUAAUUAUUAAUCUAAAUAUUACAAAGACGAAAAUAUCAAAAUCUCUUAUUUCUAGUAGUACAGUAAUUUUACUAUGAAGAACAAUUAUUUUUGAAUAUUAUUUAUCUGCAUUUAUGAAGAGUGAAGGGAAGAAACUAGAACAACUAUUCUAUCGUGGGGCCAGGCUAAUUAUAUUAACGGCCGGAUUUGAUUUUAUGAACUCAAGAUGAACGGUGCGGAUUUAAUGAAUGUCCGUUCGUUGUCGAGCGAGUUCUUUUCCGAUGGGCGAAACGGGUCUUCAAGAAACCUCUCGCGUUCUCUCUAUUCUUAUUCCACCGCCCCUCUCUUUUAUCCCUCUCCCGCUAUUUAUUCGGACACAAACUCGGUACUUAUCCUCCCUUCCCCGAAUAAGAAGAAGAAUAAGGGGAAAUGGCGGGAGACGGGGUGAAGUGGGACGGAUUGCUUAAAUGGAGCCUUUCUCACUCCGAUGGCACUCGCCCUCCUCGCAAUAUCAGGUUCUCUCUCUCUCUCUCUCUCUCUCUCUCUCUCUCUCUAUGAGGGGAGAUCCUAAUCUCCUUCUAAGCCCUAGCAAUUCGUAGAUCUCGUAAGCUUUGUUCGGGUUUGAUUAAUGGCUGUUUUUUGUGGGGGGAUUGGUUGUAGAGAGGAGGAUCGGAGGUGGUUCAUGGAGGCGAUGCAGGCGCACGCUGUUGACGUCGUGAAGCGGAUGAGAGAGAUCACCAUGGUGAUGAGAACCCCGGAAGAAGUAUUGGAGGCUCAAGGAGUUACUCCAUCCGAUAUCGAAGGUAAUCAAUUAGUGAAUAAUUGUGAUUGGAUUAUUCAGGUUCUGUAAAUUAAGCGAGUUUGAUGAGAUGGAUAGGAUGCGGGAAAUUAGGGCUAGGAAACGAAGUGUUCCGGUGGAGAUGAUUUGAAGUAGCAUAUGUUUAUUUCUUAAUUUUGUGCGAACUAAUCUGGAUUCAUUAUAAGCAAUUCUUCUGUUUUGAUCUUUGAUGUCAAUUUAUUGUUAUCUAUGUUUGAGUAAGGUUGAUGGAUGGAGAGGAUGCAGCAAAUUAGGGUUCGCAGAUGAAAUCUUCCUGUGGGGAUGAUUCGAUGCAGCCUGUGUAUCACCUUAAUUUAAUGCGACAAAUUCUGGAUUCAUUAUUAACAAUUAUUGUGGCUCGACGGUCGAUUUCUUAUUUUUUACAUUUGAGUUCUUCGUGUUUGAUGUUUUAGUUCUCGUCAACUGAUUUUGUGCGUCGUGCCACGCUUCCGUGAGCCUUUUAGUCUGUCAUGUGGGGGACAAUGUAUUUUUAUAUACUUACAUGUGUAAAGAUGUAUUAAUUCUCUUUCGAGGAUGAUAUUAAUUCUUUUUUCAGGAUGUUCUUCACACUGGACAUAUAAUCUCUUUGGUCAACAAGAUUAAAUAGUGCCUCUUUGUUAUCUGUAAUCUGAAUAUGUAAAUGUUCUUGUACUGGAUGUCAUUGCGAUAUGUUUAAUCAGUUAAACAUCGUUUUUAGUGAAAUUGACAAAUUUGUCACUCCGAAGUACCGGCAUGCAAUAGAACGUCUUUGCUUAGAAUUAUUCUUGAAGGCAUUUGACAACUUUGGCAUAUGGAAGUGAAUGAUACUUGCUUGGAAGUUCUAUAUAAGACAUGGAUUAUCCUGGGAUUACUCAAGUUAAAUGUCGAUUAUGAAAUUAUGUCUUUUCAUCCUCAGAAAGUUGAGGAUUUGAAUAUAUUAUGUUUCACAUAUCGAUUGUAUUUUUUGUUGGCCAGGAAUAUCAGUGCUAUUUUAAUUAAUCAUUUGAAUACGAGUAAGUGAAUAAAAGAAUCUAAAAAAUCUCAUUGGUUUGGAUUUUCUUGGUUAAUACUAGAAUUUUCUGUUCUUUUUGGCUUUUGCUGUUGGUAUAGCGGUACUCUUAUUUUGCUCCUAAAUGAGUUUUCAUGCAUUUAUGUUGUCACUUACAUGAGCCUGUACUUGUGUAGAGAAUGAACGCUUGUGCAGCUUGAUAAGUCUUUUUUCAUUGUCACUCUUUUGUUUGUGUUGCAGGCAUGUUGGAUGAGCUGCACGAACAUGUUGAAGCAAUUGAUAUGGCUAACGGUACUCCCCCCCCCCCUCUGCGGUCUCUUUUACGAAUUUGGUGCAUAUGUUGGGCCAAAUCAGGCAGCACUUUUUACCAAAAUCCUUGGCUAGUAGGUUAACUGGUCUUAGUGCAUGAUCACCUUUUUGUCACGUCCAAUCCAUGACAGACUAAGCCAAACACUUACACAUGAUCUAGCAAAUUACUUCCAAUUUGCUUUGUAUUUUAAGUAUAUUUUACCCCUCCACUUAAGCUUUAGGUGACUUCUUGCAGCUAUGAAGGCCUUAACUGGUGAUUCUUCCUAGCUGUUGCCACAAUGCUGUGCUUUUGCUACUUCAUGUUUCAUUAUGAGCAUAGCAGCAAAAUAUAGCAGGGCAACAAAUUAACAUUAGGGGAAGGACAUGGUCCUUCCUGUUAAAUCGGCUCCUUGUAUGUUUUAGUAACAUAUAUCAUGCACCUUUGAGAUGAAGUGAUUCAUUUUUCUUUCCUACUAAUGGAUAAGCUCUUUUCUUCUGUUAAGUGAGUUUCAAUCUGAUUUAUGGAGUUAAUUGCAUGUUUCCACUGGCAAUUUUAGGGCAAAGAUGCUUUGGUGUCUAUAUUUAAUGGAAGAAUAAAUUAUGAACUUAUAGAAAGCAAAAUAAAAUUUGCUUACUCUUAUAUCACUCAGAAUCAUCUUUGUUCUACGUUUACUUUUCUUUUUUCCCUUUUCCCUUGUGUGUAUACCAUGACUUGGCUUCUAUUAGUUUCUUAUUACUUGUCAGCGUUCAUCAAAAGUAUUUCGUUUCAAUUUCUUCUUCUACUUUUAAAGUACUUCGUUUCAAUUUCUUCUUCUACUUUUAAACUAUGCUGAUUAAGCUAUGCUGAUCUCUUCUUGGUCACUUUCUCUAGAAUAGUACUCUUACUCAGAAAUAAUAUAAAACUAGUGGAAUUCACCAUGUUCUGACUAUUUUGUUGUGCAUUGGUUCGGAACUACACAAGACCUGCACUCUGUCGGUGGCUUAGUUCCUCUGCUUGGCUACCUGAGAAACUCCAAUGCCAGUAUCAGGGGAAAAGCUGCAGAAGUAGUAAGUACUGUUGUCCAGAACAACCCAAGGAGUCAACAGCUUGUCAUGGAAGCUAGCGGAUUUGAGCCUCUGCUGUUGAAUUUCACAUCGGAUCCUGAUAUAACUGUUCGUACAAAAGCCCUGGGGGCUAUAUCUUGUAAGCAUUUUAUUUCUCUCCUUUCCUCAUUCUCUGAUAUUCGAAAGUGUGCAAUCUUGGGGACUCGCUUUCUACUUUUCGAACAAAUUUACUGCAAGAAGCAGUACUUAGACGUUUGACAAAUUUUAGAUCUCUUACUUUGGCAAGAAGCUGACAUGAGCUAAUGAACCUCAAGCGGGAGCACUAAUUUUGUGCUUUUCUGCUUCUUUAACAACUGUAAGCUCUUUGGAAUUUUCAGCACUUGCGCUUAAUUAACUUUUGCGACUUCUUGUCCAGGCUUGAUCCGGAACUACAAGGCUGGAACAACUGCAUUUCGACUGGCAAAUCCUUAUUCGGGCCUGAGGGAUGCGCUGAGUUCGAAUAAUACCAGAUUUCAGAGGUCUGCCCUUUUGCUUUCCCGCUCAAGUAGUCGACAAAUUUGUCAAAACUUAUUAUCAUGUCACUUUCUUAGUCUAUCGUCAUCUAAGUUUGUUAUCAUACUCUAAGAAAGUCUGAUGCAUUAUCAGUUUCAGAAAUUUUCUCCUCCCAACAUUCCCCUGUUGCUAAAAAUCAAAUUGAUCUUUAAUACCAGGAAGGCUCUCAACCUGAUUCAGUAUCUAGUUCAAGAGAACAGCUCAGAUUGCAGUGUUAUUGCAGAACUAGGGUUUCCCCGGCUCAUGAUACAUCUAGCUUCCAGUGAUGACUUGGAGGUGCGAGAAGCCGCCUUGGGCGGGCUCCUCGAGCUGGCUCGUGACGGGACAGCAGGAAAUAACAUCAUAUCAACUGAAAAAGAUCAGCUGAGUCAACUCCUCCAGAACCGAAUCGAUGAUAUCCGAUCGAUGUCCCCUGACGAUCUCAGGGCCGCCAGGGAGGAGAGGCAGCUUGUCGACUCUUUGUGGAGCAUUUGCUAUAAUGAGCCCUCGGUGCUUCGCAAGGAGGGUCUCGUUGUGCUUUCCGGGGAGGAAUCCUUCGAGAUGCCCCCAGAUGUUGCAGGGAGAUUCUUCGAGCCCCCUCUCCGUGCGUGGGCAGCGAAAGCGCCUCCUUCAAACGAGGGUCAGGUUUGGCCAACAGAGCAAAGAAAGAGACACCAUUGCGUAUAGGCUCUGUGUCGUCUUUGAGCGAAAAUUCUCGUGAUGGACAUACCGGUUCUUGAGAGGUGACUGCAAUUGUUUUUUGUUCUUCUUAUGUAUAGAAGUGAAAUAGCAUGAUAAUGGUGGGGUAGUGUUUGUGUACUAUUAGGCUUUCUUUUGUACCGUGGAUGAUAAAUAACGGAACCUGCCUGCCAACGUUUUUCUUUUUCUUUUCUUUUCUUUUCUUGUGACCCUGGCUGUUGACGUUUUUAUGCUGGAUUUUUCUUUACAUGCUUGCAACAGAGAGCCAGCCAUAAGGGAGCUCGAUGGUAAAAUCAGAGACCCGUUGAGAGUCGGCGUUCUGAGUGGUUCUUUCACCGAGUUGGCUCGUAAACUCGGCAACUCUCUCGUUUUCACCGACGAGAUCUUCGUGAAAAAGCAUCUUGACCCCACCGCCUUUAUGGUUGUUCUAGGAGAGUAAAUCGCGACCGCCCAAAUGAUCCGCGCCAAUCUUGGAGAAAUAUCUCGAGUCCUCCGAUAUCCGAAAGGCCCUCAAAUGACGCAGAAAUUGCGAAAGACCCCAAAAAGCGACCAAGCGAAGCAAGGCCGAAUCAAAAAUAUCGGGGUAACCGGUCCACGUGUACACCCGUGGCACCCCGAUUUGCACUUUUGGACCCUCCCCUCUCAUUAUUUUAAUUAAUAAAUAAAUAUCCCAAAAAGUUCCCCUCCAAAUAUCUAACGCAUCUUCGCGGCCACCGCCUCCACCACCGCCUCUCCGGACCCCGACCGAAAUGAAACCCAAACCCUAUUCCUCCGCUCGAAUGGCGCCCUGAUACCCUAGAUCCUUCGCUUUAGAGGUGUUGCAAUGAGCGAAGAAGCCGAAGACGGGGACUUCGACAUGGCCGCCACCAACGGAGGCGCGGAGGAGGCGGAGGAGGAGGGGAGGGUGCUCGAGUGGGAGACGGGGCUCCCGAGCGGCGACGAGCUGGUCCCGCUCUCGCAGCUGCUGGUCCCGCCGGAGCUCGCCGUCGCCUUCCGGAUCCCGCUGGAGCCUGCGCAAACCCUACUCGACGUCGACCGCUUCUCCCGUCAGACCCUCGACAACAUCCGCCGCAUCUCCUCCUCCUCCCCCUCCUCGCUCCGAUCCUUCCACCCCUUACCUUCUCUUCCGGCCAUCAUCGCCGGCGAUGACGACGAAGGCCCCGCCGCCGCCGAAUCGUCGCGCAAGACGCGGCGGAUCGAAGGUUCCACCUCCUCCGCCGCCGCCGCCAACGCCGCGGCCGCGGCCGCGGCGGAGGAGGCCGAUUUCUCGGCCGCGCUUCGGCCGGAGAACUCCUCGGGGGCGCAGAAGCGUCCCCGCCUCGUGUGGACCCCGCAGCUGCACAAGCGGUUCGUGGACGUGGUGGCCCACGUGGGGAUCAAGAACGCCGUGCCGAAGACCAUCAUGCAGCUCAUGAACGUCGAGGGCCUGACGCGCGAGAACGUCGCUAGCCACCUGCAGAAGUACCGCCUCUACCUGAAGCGAAUGCAGGGCUUGUCGGACGAGGGCCCGUCCCCGUCCGACCCCCUCUUCGCCUCCGCCCCCGUCCCCCCGAACCUGCGCGAGCAGCCCGUGCCCGUGCCCGUGCCGAUGCAUGUGCCCUAUGCCGUGGUGCCCGUGCCGGCCUUUGGCAUGACCCAUCCCUAUGGGCACGGCGGCCCGAUGGGGAUGGGGAUGGGGAUGGGGAUGGGGAUGGUGCCCAUAGGUAACCAUCAGGGAGCUGCGGCGACUAAUGGGUUUGGUCCGAUUGUUACGUAUCCUCAUGUUAACCCUAGUGAUAAAUAAAACAAAAAGGGAAAAUUUCCGCUUUGCCGACGGUGUUUGUAAUACAUGUCGAAUAAUUACCAUGGUACUCUUGUAUGUUGUGACUAAUUUUUGUCGGCUGUUCAUUUAUCUCCUAACCUGAUAUAGUUUUGCUUUUAAGGGCAAAUGGUUUGCUACUCUGCUUUAGCUGCUUAGCCAUGUUGAUUUUGAACUCAUUUGAUACAUCUUAUUCCAUUGCGGUACAUACAGUAGGAAGUGAAGAAGGAAUUCCUUUUUCGUAUGACCUGUUCUUUAGGUAUUUUUGUGUGAUCAUUUGUUCUUUCGGAAUCUUAGUGGCAGUUUUUGGCUGUAAUUUAUAUGGAAAGACUUAUUUCUCUGCCACUGCAUGCGCUAACGGAUGAUAAAGGACUAUGUGAGUGAUAAAGAGAUUGAACAGAGGUAAUGCAAUAUAUGAGGUUUUUGGAGCAUUUUUUAGCUGCCUUUUUUGCUUUCUUAUUCGAAAUGGAAUGGGUUCUUACAAGAAUGUUUUAGCUUGUUCAAAUCUCAGGUUGGUGGAGGAGGUGGGUUGCUCUUAUCUAAUUAAGAACAGGUUUUUUUAUCAUUCUGCAAGAGGACACCUCAGGUAAUCGCAAUUGUUGUUCUUUGCCAAGUGGUGACAAAUUUGACAUGUUUUAUACAAAAUGACUACUUUCCAAUGUAGAAAUCAUUGAAUAGCAUUGAACCCUCUGCACCAUAAAAUGACAUUCUUUAUAUCCUGUAUGUGUGUAACUAAAGAGAAUAAAUGUCCACACAUAUGAAAGGCUAGUCUUAGAAAUAAGCUCCUAAUUAAAUCUGUUGUUUAGAAUAUAUUUGAUGUCAUAUACUUGCAUCACUGCUAACAUUUUCAUCAAUACAGUGCCAAUCCAUAUGAAAGAUUGAUGUCGGAUGAAUUGAACAGUAAUGCCAGGGUAGUACAAGAAACAUAAUUAGUUUCUGCUUUGUGGGUAAAAAUAAUAAUUAUAAUUAUUGUAGCUAGCGGAAAUUGUAAUCCCCAGUGUUUUUGAUGGAUAUACCAGCUUAGUCCUUAUUGUGUGAUUUAAGUAUGUCGGCAUGUGCUUUUCCCUUGUACAUUUUUGGGUGAUGCAUCUCAUCUACUAUCAGGUCUACUGCCUGAUUUUCACAUUUUCGUCAGGAGGAAUGAACGUUGCCGGAGACAUCCUUGCCUUCUCUUCGUUUGUUAAAGCCCUACGUUCGUUGCUUUGAUACAUUCCAUUGCUCCAAACCUGGUGAGAUCCAGAAACUAGUUGAGUGAUGCCAAAGCACUUGUUAUCAACAUGAAUAGUGAAUAAGUGAUAUUCGAAAUACUUGAUUAUUGAUACAUGAAUCAUUUCUUUCCAUUCAACACUGUAAAGUUAAUGUUCUAUCUGUUGAUCUUAGAUUCUUCUAGUUAUGCAAAUUUUACUGUCAAAGUUGACUUGGUUAUUGUGUUAUUCUCUUGUUGGUCUCAGAUCUUUUUUUCACCUUUCAAAAGAUUAGUUCUUCUCUCACUGAAAUUUUAAUGUGUCAUUGUUCAUAUUAUUGAUCAUAUGCCGAAGUACUUCAUUUGUCAUUCUUCGAUAGGUAGUACCAUCAUAGAUAGGAGGUUAUUCCAGUCCAGUUUCUGCCCUUCUGACACUUCAAAUUUUUGCCCAUAUCCUUGCACAUCAUUAGGUGCCAUUGCAUACUUCCUCUUCUCCUCAUAUCAAAGAUUAAAGAACACAGCCAUUGCACUCUUGAUUAUUCUCACUAUAUCUUCUGCAACUUCAUGAUUUAUGAUCGGUUCAGUGCUUGCAAACUUCGCUAUUAGCAUUUGGAAGUAGUUCUCUCUUCUUCCUCUUUUUUUCUUUUUCGUGUUAUAUCAAUCAAGUUUCAUAUAAAGGAGAUAAGAGUUUUAUCUGUAUACCUGGAAGAAGCCCCAUUCCUUUGCAGGCGGGUUGAUUCGUCUUCUUUCUCCUUCGCCGCCGCUCGAAAGCAAAGAGAAAUCAAUAACGGGGAUAUUAGGUGAGAGAUCACGCAGGUCUCUUGGCAUUUCAACAGUGUCUCUAAUUUCCAGGCACACAGUGUGGAUCUUUUCUCACAAGCUCCUGAACACUCUGCACAGGUAGAGAUCCUCCGUAUCCUAGCCCUUCUUCUUUCUUACCAGAGGUUCCAUUCUCUGUCUCAAUCUCCAUCUUUUCACAUGUAUGGCGUGUUACUACUACAAAGUUUUACUUUUAUAUGUCUGUUCAUUUGCUGCAUCGUCAUUGGUUAUUCUUGUCAUUCCGGUGUGAGAAUGAAGAGACCGAAUUGUUAACAAGGACUAUAGUGAGACAUUCUUAGAUAUUCCAAAUGAUAACGCAUGAUAAUGAUAAACAAAGAUGAUCUAGUGAUAGUGGGGGAGCAUUAUCAUAUCUUAGAACUAGAAAAUUAAUUGUUGUGGAAGCUUGUACGCGGAAAAGGCCAAAGCUAGAGAAAGCGCAUGCAAGGGGAGUUGGGGGAAAGGAAUCUUACUGUCCUGUUGAGACUCUUUUGAGAUAGUUGUAUUUGUACGGGACCUUAAAGCACACACGCAGCUUGGGUUGGGUUGAGAUUCUGCUAAUUAUUAAUUAGAGCUGCUCUAAAUCUCUUUAGCUUCCGGGUGUAAUGGAAAUGGAAACUUCAAUUUAGGUUUUUUUUGAAAAAAAAAUGAAAAUUUUCUUUAAACUUUUGACCUCAAGAGAAGCAUCUGAUUGUUCUAAGUCCUUUACUCUGUAAAGUAGAGAAGCUGAAGUAUGGAACUAAAUAACCUAUGAUUGAUCAAUCACAAAAAAGAAUUAAAGAAAGUUUUUUUUUUUUUAAUCUUUUUUAAACGCAAAAUUUAGCAUAUAUGUGAACGAAAAAAACAACAAAUGUGAAUGGCCCUCUAUGGCCCAUUUAGCAGUUGAUGGAGCACAGCCUAGUAAGAUAAGGGUAAAUGGGCUGGCCCUCAUUAGGGGAGAGGAGCACAAGCUACAAUUGGGCCCUCACUUAGACCGAAGAGUGCGGCCCAAUUGGUCAAUUUGGGCCUGGGCCAUUAACACCCUCGCUUUGGGCUACAAACAACUCUCUCUCUCUCUCUCUCUCUCUCUCUCUCACGCGCCAUUGGCGGGGUCUUGGAGCUCUUCGCGGUGAGGCGCGCCAUUGGCGGGGUCUUGUAGCUCUUCGCGUUGAGGCGCGCCAUUGGCGGGGUCUUGGAGCUCUUCGCGGUGAGGCGCGCCAUUGGCGGGGUCUUGUAGCUCUUCGCGUUGAGGCGCGCCAUUGGCGGGGUCUUGGAGCUCUUCGCGGUGAGGCGCGCCAUUGGCGGGCUCUUCGCCGUGAGGCGCCCAUGGCGUCUUUCUCAAGCGGCCCCGGGGCGAUUUCUCCCGUAACCAAUCCAUGGCCACCAACGCCUCUCGAUUUGACUCGUCCCGAUCUCCUCGACGACGUCCAUUUGGUCCAAAUCCUAAACGAUGGCGAAACCCUAAUUACCCUCAGGUGAAUCCUCGCAUCCUUUUUAAUUUGUAUUUUCUUGUCCUUUGGAAUCAGCCAUACUUUGCUUUGUUUACGAGAGGAAUAACGAGUUUGAAUACUGUUUGAAGUAUUGAGAAAGCUUUAUAUAAUAAUUGGGAUUUGGGUCUUAAAUCUAUCAGUGAGAAGAUGUUUGAUGUCAAUAUGUCAUAAAACUUGUAUCAUCACUUCUAACUGCACUUUGAGAUAACACUAUUCAGUACAUUACAGGAAAACAGCAACAUACCAGAAGCAGCACAAAAUUAAUUAACAGUUGUUAUUUUGAGCAUAAGAUGCAUCAUUAUUUGCAACACCAGAAUUCUUGAUGUACGGACCAGCUUAUUCCUUGUUAUCUAACUUCAACACGUGUGUGUGUGUUUUCCCUUCCAGCUUUUUUGAAAAGAAAUGCCUAAGGAAAUCGAUGUGCUUGAUGGUUUUGUACAUUCUCGGCCGAUGAAUUUCAUCUAUCAUCUGAUCUACUGGGCCAAUGUCUGCAUUUUCGUCCGGGUUAACAAAUGUUGCCAGUGACAUCCUUGCACUAUCUUUAUUUGUUAAUGCCCUAUGCUCGAUGCUUUCAUACAUCCCGUUGCUCCACGCCUGCGAGAUUUGUAAUUAGUUAAGCGGCGCAAGGCACGCAAUAGAAACAGUAAACAAGAUGUUGCUGCCCCAGUAAAUUUAGCUAAGGCCAUUAAAUCCUUCCGCUUCAAUCCAGAUAGAAUAUCCCAAAAUCAUGCUAUUGAUGAUCGAUUUACUUGCUGCUUAUUCUUAAUCUCCUAGUCUCAGAUUAUUCUAUUCAUGCGAGCUUUACAUUUCUAAUACUAGCAACAUUUGACGAAACAGCUGGUUGAAUUAUAUGACAGAUAAUUUUACUCAUAGGUAAGGUGAGUCUUUCUAUCUUUCCUUUUCAAUCAUACAGUUUGUAUAUCAAAUAUAUUCUCUGUAACUUCUUGUUGCAGGUUUAUUAUUGGUUUGUGUAAAGACAUUUCUUAUUUCUAAAUGCAUAGAUGUGGACCUAGAGAAAUGCACCGUUUGAGAUUCGUAUUGUUACUGUUAUUUAUAAAAGAAAGAAAAUAUGGUUGUAUGCAUUACUGGCAGCAUAAUUCCGAUAUGGUCAUUAACUUUUUAUCUCCAUAUAGGAUUUAUUCUGCCAAUAAUGCACAUGAUCAUAUUUAGGAGUAUUUCUUUUUCUUUUUCUUUUUUCUUUUUUUUUUCUUUUUAGGUUUUUAGGUAGGGAGUAAGAUGCCAUCUCGAUAGAAACAGUAACUGCCAAAUGGAACAAGAAGCCAUCUAGAUACCUCGAGGGAAUCUCCAAUAUUGAUUACUAAGGCAUUUGGGAUGGGUUUCACAGGGAUCCAUUCACCCUUGUACUUGAUUUGGAGGCCAGGAAUGUCAUCUUCUUGCAAUAGAAUGGUGAUAGAGCUUCCAUCUGAAUGUGGACUCACGCCGAGAACGUCAUCUGGCCUAGAGCAUGGUGGGUAAUAGUUCAUGCGCAUACUUAGUUUCCAUGUUCCAUGCAUUGCCAGUAGCUCAUCUCUCUUCAUGUUCAUCAACAAGGAUAUGUUCCCAAGGAGCUCUUCGGCUAUCCUUUUUAUUUUGGUUGAAUACAUAUCAACAGCAUCUCUGGAGAAAAAUAGGAAAAGUUAGAGCACUUGCAGAAUCUGUUUAAAAUAGCUACAGCUGCUUUGAAUCUUAUUCUGCUUUGAUCUUUUUCUCAUGUCUAGAGUUUGUUGCGGAGUAGAUUUAGUAUGAUUCGAGCUUCUACAGAUUAUACUGAAUGUCGAUAUACAGUGCUAAAACACCUCUUCUUGCAGGCUAAAAUGCAAAACCUUGCUUUGAAAUAGAACCAUCUACCGAUCUAUAUUUAGCCCCACUCAAGAUACAAAAAACUACAUUUAAAUAGCGACUGAAAUACGACUUGACCUGGUUGGCCGACCCAGUCCGACCCAAAAAAUAACCGAAACUGGACUGGUUCCGGACAAAUCAUUUUGUCCAGAUUAAAAUCCAGGUAGGAUCUUGACAUGAAAAUACAGCCAAACUGGGUCAAUAACCUGGUUUCAUAGUAAUAGUUUAAUAAAUCAAUUUAAAUUAUACUACAUUAUUUUUCAAUCGAAUAGUUUGUUUAAAAAGGAUCUAUGAAUUUUCUUUAUGAUUAUGAUAUCUUCGUUCUAAGUACAUAAAUUUGAAUUCAAAUUUGAUUUAAUACAUGUUUUGAAAAAAAAAUUCCUAAAUUUUGGCUUAAUAUUGGGUCAAACUGAGUCUGGAUCUGGACACCGUAUUCUAAAUUGCAUCCAUAUCUGAACAUCAUAUAGUGUCCAAAAUCCAGGUCCGGAUCGGUUUUGAAUAUAGUGAAUAUUCAUUAAUCCUAAUGGUUGUCCAGUCUGUUUUUGACCUGAACCCAGAUUUUUGCCGCCCCUACAUUUAAUGCCUUCAUUGUUUAGACUAUCGGCACUAGAUUCUUUUGCUGUUAACAUUUUCUGUUUAGGAGUAUGAUUUCAAACCAUUAUAUGUAACGGGUAUUUAACAUCAUAUUUUAAGACUAUCUUAAAAUAUCCUUAGUGAAAAGGUGUGAUGAUGCAGGGUUUGAAAGCCAAAGAUCUAAACAUCGAGGGGGCCGAAUGCAGCAUUUAUAUUUCAGGAAAGCAAAGUGCAAACGGUACUAUUUUAAGGAGAUUUUGGGCAAUUUAGCUAUCACCUCAGAAUUUUCAUGCUUUGUUUAGGUAUUACUGUAUUAGUUAAACAAUGAAACUAUCAACAGCUUUUAUCCAUUUCUUAAACAUGGGUAAAGCCCAUCAACAGCGCAAUAAUUUUGAGAUUGGAAAAGAAAGGGGGAAAAAAAAAUCUAAUUUCCAUGUCUAUCACAAAGUAGAGUAGCGUACUUGAAAUCGGGGACAAUGAUUGGCCAGUAUUUCAUCCGUCUUUGUUCUGUGGGUUCUACUAUUAUAUACAGUAGGUCAUUCCAAUCCAGCUUCUGCUCUUCAGACACCACGAAUGCUUGACCAUAUCCAUGCACGUCAUUUGGUGCCAUUGCAUGCUUCUUCUUCUCCUCAUAUGAAAGAUUAAAGAACCCGCCCAUCGCUUUCCUGAUUCUGCACAGAAGAUCCUCUUCUACUCCGUGAUUUAUGAUCUGUCAGAUUAAAAAAAUUAUUAUUAUUAUUUGAUAAUAAAAUUCAUCAUCUUGAUGUAUGUUGUAUUACUAAAGUUUGUACUACCACUACUACUACUGUAGGUUUAUUUGGCUCUGCCGUAAGGUGUAGUGCUAUUUAAAUAGUGUUGUUAGGUUUUCGUAACAUACUCUGUUUAUAGAAAGAGAGUGUAAGCUCUAAUCUGGGAGUUUUGCUUGUGUGACUAAGAAUUUGACUUUAUAUUUUUUUUUUUCGCUGCAGUAGUUUUAUUCGCCGAAUGUUUUACAGGAGGUGAUUAUUGCAGAAAGCAAGAGCAAAAACUAGCUCAAGAGGCACUUUUAUCUCAGAGGAAGUAAUAGUUAAGAAAAUAGAUGAUUAGAGAGAUAUGUGGAUGCCUGGAAGAAGCCCCAUUCUUUGCAGGCGAGAUCGAGUCUUUUUCGUUCAUCUUCGUGUCCGCCCGAAAGCAAAGAGAAAUCAAUAACAGGGAUAUCAGGUGUGAUAGCAGAGACCACCCCUCUAUCUUUUGGCCUUUCAGCAUGAUCUCUGAUGUAUCUUUCAGGUACAGAGCUUGGAUCUCUCCUUACAAGCUCCUGAACACUCUGCACAGGAAGAGAUUUUCCCCAUCCUAGCCCUUCUUCUUCUUCUUCUUCUUCUUCUUGUUCUUUGUAAGAGGCUCCGUUCUCCAUCCCAAGCUCCAUGUCUUCACUCCUAUUAUUUAGCUUAUUACCUUCUCUAAGCUUUAUAUGAAAAUUCAAGCUUAUCUACUGUUCAUGAUGUUGUUGAAUUUGUAGCUUUGUUGAAUUUGUAGCUUUGUUGAAUAUUCCGGUUAUGAAGAUAUGCUUGAGCUGGUGAAAGAUUUGUCUUUUCUCUCUCUCUCUCUCUUUUCCUUGCUUUUUUUUUUCUUUCCGUUGAAAGCAUCGGUAAUUGUUAAUUGCUGUGGAUCCGGAAGAUCCGGAGUGGGAGAUGCCCAGUUGGAGUUAAAAGUAACCUUUGUAUACCUUUGUAUGGUUAACGUCUACUGCUCCUAUCACACAAAUACUAAUGUUACGGUUUCUUUGCUUUUUUUUUUUUUUUUUUUUUUGAGAAAAGUAUCUAUGGAAUUAAUACUUCAACCGCUAAAUUUUUACCUUAUUAUCCGAUCUACGACAUUUGGUGCGCAGGGCAAAUGUAGGCUAGGAUGGCUAUCGGGGGCCCAACUCCGUAGGCCCAGAAAAAAGUCCUUAUUAUUAUUACUACAAGGCUUGGACUGUUUAAUUUUUUUUAAAAAAAAUUUAAAAGUGUUUAAUUUUAUGUGGAGUAUUUUAUGGAGACAUAUAUUUAUGUUAUUAGGAAAAAAAAUCGAUUUUUUUGUUAAAUAUAUAAACUAAAGCUUAAAUACAACUCUUUAUGUCUAGGGUUACAUGCUUAAAUAUAUUCUCAACACGAAACAAGCACAAAUUUCAGAACGAAGUCAUCCCCGUGAACACCACGGAUUCUCUAGGGUUACAUGCUUGUUAAUCCUUUUCUUCUUUUUGUGCACUUUGAAAUAGUUUAACAGAAGCCAUUGCCUGGGCAAGUUUCUAAACUUUUAGUUCUUCAAAUUUGAGUUAUUCUUUUAAACUUAGCUAUGGUGCUUUGAAAUUGAGGGCUUUAUCAAGGAGUGGAGAUAUUACACAUGAAGUUUAUUCAAAGUAGAAAAGAAAAUUUAAAAUUGAAAAUCUAAAAUCAUAUACUAGUAGAAAUUUUUUUUUAAAAAAAUUAUAAGAUAAAUGGCUGAAGUAAAUUGGCAUACUAUUUUAAUAGUGUUAAUUUUUUUUAUCAAAAUUCAAAUGAUUGUUUUGGAUCACAUGCAUUUAUCUCUCAGUUAUUUGUAUUCGUUCGAACCCAGGGACGAUGCGAUACGCUCACCGCCACGUAUACAUAAGCGUGGGGUUUUGAGAGCAAAAAUCCACGAAAAAAGUAAUUUUGAGGCAAAGAAGGCGAUUAGUGUGGGAGGGUGAGCUCACAGGAGGUGACCGGACUCGCAUAGCCGCAUCAGUAUAUAUAGCCCGGCCCGGCCCGGCCCAAUAAGAAAGUCAUUUGUCGUCUAGAGCCAGAAUCAAUGCGGCCCAAUUUCCCAGCGAUACGGUCACCGGCAUUAGGCAUACCCCCGUCGCUCUGUAAGCAACAGUCCACCGAAAUAAUUAUUUUGAAGCAAUCGAGGCGAUUACUGCGGGGGGGUGAGCGCACUGGCCGGUGACCAGACUCGGAAAGCCCUAUCUAUCCGUAUACAGGCCGGCCCAAUAGGUCGAUUGGCUGGUGGUGAAUUAACUAACGUGGCCCAACAUCAGACCAAUUGUCGGUAUCAUAUGGGCCGAAUUAAAUUGACAGGGCCAAUAGAUCGAAUAGGCCUUAUGUCGCUAAAGCGACAGCGCAAAUGGUCCAGGCCCAACAAAACGGGCCCUUCUUUAGAGCCCAAACUAGGUCAUUUUGAUAACACGUCCAAACCUAUAUAGGGCCUCGAAGGAUUUGCAUUAAUUAUGUACAUAAUUUUAUUUAUUAUUAUUUAUUUUUGUAUUGGAGUUGCAUAAGGAGAUGUCAACCUUGGUGCAGGAUGUCUCGAUUCCAUGAUUCUUGCAGUUCUCUAAAUUAAUACAUUAUUAUUUUACUUCCAAGUGCUAAAAUCCAAUGUUCUCUCUCUCUCUCUCUCUCUCUUUUCUGUAUGUAGUUCUAACUUGAUUUGAAAUAUAUCAAAUUCACUCGAUAGCUAAGUUCUGGUAUUUUGAAAUUCAAGGCUCUCUAAGGAUAGGCUGUCAAUAGUUAAAAAAGUCAAUUGUUUCAUCAUUUCGAGAAAUAUACAAAACAGUCGAGUCAACUCGAUUCAGACUUUGUAACUUGUUUGUAUGAGGUAACGUUUUACUUUAGCAAGAAGCAGAGAUAUUACACAUACAGUUUAUUCAAAAAAAAAAAAAAAAUUAUCAUAUUUAAAAUCAUGUACCAGUAAAAAUUUUAAAAAUUAUUAGAUAAAUGGAUGAUUUAAAUAACCAUGCAAUUUUAACAUUGGUAAUAAAAAAAAAAAAAAAAUUAGAACGACUAAUUUGGAUUACCCGCAUCAAUCUCUCAAUUUAUUUGUACUCACUGGAGCCGCAACGUGUCAUUUUAUUGCCUUGGGUCCCUGCGAUACGCUCACCGCCACGUACGCAUUACCGCGGCGUUUUGGAAGCAAGAAUCCGCGAAAAAAUUAUUUUUGAAGCAAAGCGAGACGAUUAGUGUGGGAGGGUGAGCUCACGGGGGGUGACCGGACUCGGAAAGCCGCAUCAGAAUAUAUAGCCCAGCCUAAUAAGUCAAUUGCUCGCGACCCAAUUACGGCCCAAUUGCGGCCUAACAUCCCAGCGGAACGGUCACCGCAUCGUGCGCAUAACCUCGACGUUUUGUAAGCAACGACCCACCAAAAAAAUUAUUUUGCACCAAACGAGACUAUUGGUGCGGGGGGGGGGGUGAGCGCACCGGGGAUGAUCGGACUCGAAAAGCCGCAUCAAAAUAUAGCCCGGCCCAAUAACUGAAUAAUCUACUGAAUUAAAGCGGCCCAACUUUUAUACUAUUUGGAUUUUUUUUUUUUUUUUUUUACCAACCCAAGCAUAAAGAGAUCUAUGACAAUGUAGGCUCGGCUUUGUACUUUAACAAUCCGACGGCAGAGAUUGCUUCUGGUGUUGCGAAUAUUUAAUUAUUUUAAUAUUACAUUUAAUUAUUUUAAUUUAAAUUAUAUAUUCUAAUUACUUGAAUUAACAAUCUUGCUAAAAUUAGAGGUGAAAUCAACACUUUAUUCAGCUCAAAAUUUGAUUAAACCACUAAUUUUAAUGAAAAAUGAAGACCAAAUUUAGUGAAAUUUCCCAAUUAUCCAAUGCAAAUAAGUUAAAUCAAACCGCAAGCUGUUUUAGAAUGGCCUGUAGAUUGGAGGGCCCCCAUGCAGUUAGUAUCUUUUUUCAAUUAUAUAAGUAGUACCAGGCCUGAAUCUUAAUAGCUUUCAGAAAAACAAAAACAGUGCAGUUCUUCAGAUCUCAGAUUAGAUGAUGAAACUCGUCGCACGUUGACACCUCGCAGUCGCUACCAACGAAAGGAAUGAAGCUGUAAUCGCAGUUUAUUUGAUUUGGAGAGCAAGUCAUACGACAGCGUGCUAGAAGAAACACAUGAAACAAACAUUCAGGGAAAGCAAGGGACGUAAACAUAAUUGCAAUUUGGAAAGCUAUUUAAGAAGCUCUUCGGCGUAUUUGCAGCGAUUUAUUGGAUUAUUGACUUUAACCCCCUAAAAUCUAUUGAAGAACACGUUUUCAUUGACCAACUCUAGACGGUGUCUAUCUCAACAAAACAAGCAGCUCCAAGACAUGCAUUCACACCGAGUUAAAGAAACCGAAAACAUCAGAAAAGUUGAACCAAGUCAAGCAAAAUCCACGAUCGAGAAGAGUCCACAUAUUAUAAAAACAAUCAACCCGCAGAGUCUACAUGAAGUAUAGACAGCAACGUUUAACUGUUCAUAGGAUUUCAAGGAUACUUUUUUGAGUCCAAAUGGCGAGAAAUUGGAAAAGACUAAGAAGCUUGUGGUCGGAGUAAAAUGUAAGACAAGAAAAGCUUGCCAAAUGUAAAAUGCAACAAAUAUUUACCAUUCAUGACAGAAAAGAGCUUGUGGUCGGAGUGAAAUGCAGAUUGAAAAGCUGAAUCCGAGUAUAGGCCGGCCCAAUAGGUCGAUUGGCUGUAGAUCGAGUGGGCCGAAUUAAAUUGACAGGCCCUAUAGAUCGAAUGGGCCUUAUGUCGUUAAAGCGACAGCGCAAAGGGUCUAGGCCUAACGAAAUGGGCCAUUCUUAAGAGCCCAAACUAGGUCAUUUUGAUAACGCGUCUGAACCUAUAUAGGGCCUCAAAGGCUUUCCAUUAAUUAUGUACAUAGUUUCCAAAUUGGUCAAUUUGGGCCCGGUCCAUUAACAGCCUCGCUUUUUUCCCCACCAUUGUCAAACGUCUGUGUGUGUGGGCUACAAACAACUCUCUCUCUCUCUCUCUCUCUCUCUCUCUCUCUCUCUAUCUCUCACGCGCCAUUGGCGGGGUCUUGGAGCUCUUGGCCGUGAGGCGCGCCAUUGGCGGGUUCUUCGCGGUGAGGCGCCCAUGGCGUCUUUCUAAAGCGGCCCCGGGGCGAUUUCUCCCGUAACCAAUCCGUGGCCACCAACGCCUCUCGAUUUGAUUCCUCCCGAUCUCCUCGACGACGUCAAUUUGGUCCAAAUCCUAAACGGUGGCGAAACCCUAAGUACCCUCAGGUGAAUCCUCGCAUCUUUUUUUUUUUUUUGUCCUUUGGAAUCAGCCAUACUUUGCUUUGUUUACGAGAGGAAUAACGAAUUUCAACACUGCUUGAAGUUUUGAGAAGCUUUAUAUAAUAAUUGGGAUUUGGGUCUUAAAUCUAUCAGUUAGCAGAUGUUUGAUGUCAAUAUGUCAUAAAACUUGGAUCAUCACUUCUAACUGCACUUUGAGAUAACACUAUUCAGUACAUUACAGAAAACAGCAACAUACCAGAAGCAGCACAAAAUUAAUUAACAGUUGCUAUUUUGAGCAUAAGAUGCAUCAUUAUUUGCAACACCAGAAUUCUUGAUGUAUGGACCAGCUUAUUCCGUGUUAUCUAACUUCAACACGUGUGUUGAAGUUUUCCCUUCCAGCUUUUUUGAAAAGAAAUGCCUAAGGAAAUCGAUGUUCUUGACGGUUUUGUACAUUCUCGGCCGAUGAAUUUCAUCUAUCAUCUGAUCUACUGGGCCAAUGUCUGCAUUUUCGUCCGGGUUAACAAAUGUUGCCAGUGACAUCCUUGCACUAUCUUUAUUUGUUAAUGCCCUAUGCUCGAUGCUUUCAUACAUCCCGUUGCUCAACGCCUGCGAGAUUUGUAAUUAGUUAAGCCGCGCAAGGCACGCAAUAGAAACAGUAAACAAGAUGUUGCUGCCCCAGUAAAUUUAGCUAAGGCCAUUAAAUCCUUCCGCUUCAAUCCAGAUAGAAUAUCCCAAAAUCAUGCUAUUGAUGAUCGAUUUACUUGCUGCUUAUUCUUAAUCUCCUAGUCUCAGAUUAUUCUAUUCAUGCGAGCUUUACAUUUCUAAUACUAGCAACAUUUGACGAAACAGCUGGUUGAAUUAUAUGACAGAUAAUUUUACUCAUAGGUAAGGUGAGUCUUUCUAUCUUUCCUUUUCAAUCAUACAGUUUGUAUAUCAAAUAUAUUCUCUGUAACUUCUUGUUGCAGGUUUAUUAUUGGUUUGUGUAGAGACAUUUCUUAUUUCUAAAUGCAUAGAUGUGGACCUAGAGAAAUGCACCGUUUGAGAUUCGUAUUGUUACUGUUAUUUAUAAAAGAAAGAAAAUAUGGUUGUAUGCAUUACUGGCAGCAUAAUUCCGAUAUGGUCAUUAACUUUUUAUCUCCAUAUAGGAUUUAUUCUGCCAAUAAUGCACAUGAUCAUAUUUAGGAGUAUUUCUUUUUCUUUUUCUUUUUUCUUUUUUUUUUCUUUUUAGGUUUUUAGGUAGGGAGUAAGAUGCCAUCUCGAUAGAAACAGUAACUGCCAAAUGGAACAAGAAGCCAUCUAGAUACCUCGAGGGAAUCUCCAAUAUUGAUUACUAAGGCAUUUGGGAUGGGUUUCACAGGGAUCCAUUCACCCUUGUACUUGAUUUGGAGGCCAGGAAUGUCAUCUUCUUGCAAUAGAAUGGUGAUAGAGCUUCCAUCUGAAUGUGGACUCACGCCGAGAACGUCAUCUGGCCUAGAGCAUGGUGGGUAAUAGUUCAUGCGCAUACUUAGUUUCCAUGUUCCAUGCAUUGCCAGUAGCUCAUCUCUCUUCAUGUUCAUCAACAAGGAUAUGUUCCCAAGGAGCUCUUCGGCUAUCCUUUUUAUUUUGGUUGAAUACAUAUCAACAGCAUCUCUGGAGAAAAAUAGGAAAAGUUAGAGCACUUGCAGAAUCUGUUUAAAAUAGCUACAGCUGCUUUGAAUCUUAUUCUGCUUUGAUCUUUUUCUCAUGUCUAGAGUUUGUUGCGGAGUAGAUUUAGUAUGAUUCGAGCUUCUACAGAUUAUACUGAAUGUCGAUAUACAGUGCUAAAACACCUCUUCUUGCAGGCUAAAAUGCAAAACCUUGCUUUGAAAUAGAACCAUCUACUGAUCUAUAUUUAGCCCCACUCAAGAUACAAAAAACUACAUUUAAAUAGCGACUGAAAUACGACUUGACCUGGUUGGCCGACCCAGUCCGACCCAAAAAAUAACCAAAACUGGACUGGUUCCGGACAAAUCAUUUUGUCCAGAUUAAAAUCCAGGUCGGAUCUUGACAUGAAAAUUCAGCCAAACUGGGUCAAUAACCCGGUUUCAUAGUAAUAGUUUAAUAAAUCAAUUUAAAUUAGACUACAUUAUUUUUCAAUCGAAUAGUUUGUUUAAAAAGGAUCUAUGAAUUUUCUUUAUGAUUAUGAUAUUUUCGUUCUAAGUACAUAAAUUUGAAUUCAAAUUUGAUUUAAUACAUGUUUUGAAAAAACAAAUUCCUAAAUUUUGGCUUAAUAUUGGGUCAAACUGAGUCUGGAUCUGGACACCCUAUUCUAAAUUGCAUCCAUAUCUGAACAUCAUAUAGUGUCCGAAAUCCAGGUCCGGAUCGGGUUUGAAUAUAGUGAAUAUUCAUUAAUCCUAAUGGUUGUCCAGUCUGUUUUUGACCUGAACCCAGAUUUUUGCCGCCCCUACAUUUAAUGCCUUCAUUGUUUAGACUAUUGGCACUAGAUUCUUUUGCUGUUAACUUUUUCUGUUUAGGAGUAUGAUUUCAAACCAUUAUAUGUAACGGGUAUUUAACAUCAUAUUUUAAGACUAUCUUAAAACAUCCUUAGUGAAAAGGUGCGAUGAUGCAGGGUUUGAAAGCCAAAGAUCUAAACAUCGAGGGGGCCGAAUGCAGCAUUUAUAUUUCAGGAAAGCAAAGUGCAAACGGUACUAUUUUAAGGAGAUUUUGGGCAAUUUAGCUAUCACCUCAGAAUUUUCAUGCUUUGUUAAGGUAUUACUGUAUUAGUUAAACUAUGAAACUAUCAACAGCUUUUAUCCAUUUCUUAAACAUGGGCAAAGCCCAUCAACAGCGCAAUAAUUUUGAGAUUGGAAAAGAAAGGGGGAAAAAAAAAAAUCUAAUUUCCAUGUCUAUCACAAAGUAGAGUAGCGUACUUGAAAUCGGGGACAAUGAUUGGCCAGUAUUUCAUCCGUCUUUGUUCUGUGGGUUCUACUAUUAUAUACAGUAGGUCACUCCAAUCCAGCUUCUGCUCUUCAGACACCACGAAUAUUUGACCAUAUCCAUGCACGUCAUUUGGUGCCAUUGCAUACUUCUUCUUCUCCACAUAUGAAAGAUUAAAGAACCCGCCCAUCGCUUUCCUGAUUCUGCACAGAAGAUCCUCUUCUACUCCGUGAUUUAUGAUCUGUCAGAUAAAAAAAUUAUCAUUAUUAUUUGAUAAUAAAAUUCAUCAUCUUGAUGUAUGCUAUAUUACUAAAGUUUGUACUACUACUACUACUACUGUAGGUUUGUUUGGCUCUGCCGUAAGGUGUAGUGCUAUUUAAAUAGUGUUGUUAGGUUUUCCUAACAUACUCUGUUUAUAGAAAGAGAGUAUAAGCUCUAAUCUGGGAGUUUUGCUUGUGUGACUAAGAAUUUGACUUUCUUUUUUUUUUUUUCGCUGCAGUAGUUUUAUUCGCCGAAUGUUUUACAGGAGGUGAUUAUUGCAGAAAGCAAGAGCAAAAACUAGCUCAAGAGGCACUUUUAUCGCAGAGGAAGUAAUAGUUAAGAAAAUAGAUGAUUAGAGAGAUAUGUGGAUGCCUGGAAGAAGCCCCAUUCUUUGCAGGCGAGAUCGAGUCUUUUUCGUUCAUCUUCGUGUCCGCCCGAAAGCAAAGAGAAAUCAAUAACAGGGAUAUCAGGUGUGAUAGCAGAGACCACCCCUCUAUCUUUUGGCCUUUCGGCAUGAUCUCUGAUGUAUCUUUCAGGUACAGAGCUUGGAUCUCUCCUUACAAGCUCCUGAACACUCUGCACAGGAAGAGAUUUUCCCCAUCCUAGCCCUUCUUCUUCUUCUUCUUCUUCUUCUUCUUGUUCUUUGUAAGAGGCUCCGUUCUCCAUCCCAAGCUCCAUGUCUUCACUCCUAUUAUUUAGCUUAUUACCUUCUCUCAGCUUUAUAUGAAAAUUCAUGCUCAUCUACUGUACAUGAUGUUGUUGAAUUUGUAGCUUUGUUGAAUAUUCCGGUUAUGAAGAUAAAGCUUGAGCUAGUGAAAGAUUUGUUUUUUUCUCUCUCUUUUUUUCUUGUUUUUUGUUUUAUUUUUUUUUUUCUGUUGAAAGCCCUUACUGUUAUUACUACAAUGCCCAGAAAAAAAGCCCUUACUAUUUUUACUACAAGGUUUGGACUGUUUUUUUUUUUUUUUUUUUUUUAAUUAUAAGUGUUUAAUUUUAUGUAGAGUAUUUUAUGGAGACAUAUUUCUGUAAUUAGGAAAAAAAAUCGAUUUUUUUGUUAAAUAUAUAAACUAAAGCUUAAAAACAACUCUUUUUUCAUCACACUUUCUUCUUGAUUUUUUGGAGAAUUAUUCUCAACACGAAACAAGCACAAAUUUAAGAACGAAGUUAUCACCAUGAACGCCACGGAUUCUCUGGGGUUACAUGCUUGUUAAUCCUUUUCUUCUUUUUGUGCACUUUGAAAUAGUUUAAUAGAAGCCAUUGCCUGGGCAAGUUUCUAAACUUUUAGUUCUUCUAAUUUGAGUUAUUCUUUUCAAACUUAGUUACGGUGCUUUGAAAUUGAGGGCUUUCUCAAGGAGUGGAGAUAUUACACAUGAAGUUUAUUCAAAAUAGAAAAGAAAAUUUAAAAUUUAAAAUUUAAAAUUUAAAAUCUAAAAUCAUAUACUAGUAAUAUUUUUUUUAAAAAAAAUUAUAAGAUAAAUGGCUGAUGUAAAUUGGCAUACUAUUUUAAUAGUGUUAAUUUUUUAUUUUUUUUCAAAAUUCAAAUGAUUGUUUUGGAUUACAUGCAUUUAUCUCUCACUUAUUUGUACUCGCUUGAACCCAGCCACGGUACUCCAACAACGGAUCAAGCAACAACACGCGAUACGCUCACCGCCGCGUAUGCAUAAGCGUGGCGUUUUGAGAGCAAAAAUUCAUGAAAAAAAUAAUUUUGAGGCAAACAAGGCGAUUAGCGUGGGAGGGUGAGGUCACAGUAGGUGACCGGACUCUCAUAGCCUCCUCAAAAUAUUGUAUAGCCCGGCCCAAUAAGAAAGUGAUUUGUUGAAUAGCGCCAGAAUCAAUGGGGCCCAAUUUCCCAGCGAUACGGUCACCGCCAUGUAGGCAUACCCCCGACGCUCUGUGAGCAACAGUCCACCGAAAAAUUUAUUUUGAAGCAAUUGAGGUGACUACUGCGGGGGGGUGAGCGCACUGGCCGGUGACCAGACUCGGAAAGCCCUAUCCGUAUACAGGCCGGCCCAAUAGGAUCAGACCAAUUCUCGGAAUCAUAUGGGCCGAAUUAAAUUGACAGGCCCAAUAGAUCUAAUGGGCCUAAUAUCGCUAAAGCGACAGCGCAAAGGGUCCAGGCCCAACAAAACAGGCCCCUCUUAAGAGCCCAAACUAGGCCAUUUUGAUAACAUAAUUUUAUUUAUUAUUAUUUAUUUAUUUUUGUAUUGGAGUUGCAUCAGGAGAUGUUAGCCUUCGACCUUCGUGCAGGAUGUCUUGAUUCCAUGAUUCUUACAGUUCUCUAAAUUAAUACAUUAUUUUACUUCAAAGUGCUAAAAUCCAAUGUUCCUUCUCUCUCUCUCUCUCUCUCUCUCUCUCUCUCUCUCUCUCUCUUUCUGUAUGUAGUUUUAAUUUAGUUUUAAUUUGAUUUGAAAUAUAUCAAAUUCACUCGAUAGCUAAGUUCCGGUGGUUUGAAAUUUAGGCUCUCUUAGGAUAGGCGGUUGAUAGUUGAAGAAGUCAAUUGUUUCAUCAUUUCGAGAAACAUACAGAACAGUCGAGCCAACUUGAUUCAGGCUUUGUAACUAGUUCGUAUAAGGCAGUGUUUUAUUUUAGCAAAAAUUGGAGAUAUUACAUAUAAAGUUUAUUUAAAAUAAAAAAAGAAAAAUUAUUACAUUUAAAAUCAUAUAUAUGCCAGUAUAAAUUUAAAAAAUUAUUAGAUAAAUGGCUGAUUUAAAUUAGCGUGUAAUUUUAACAUUGGUAAUAAAAAAAAAUUUAAAAUUAGAAUGACUAAUUUGGAUUAGGCGCAUCUAGCUCUCAAUUUAUCUGUACUCACUUGAACGGCAACGUGUCAUUUUAUUGCCUUGGGUCCCUGCGAUACGCUCACCGGCUCCUACGCAUUACCGCGGCGUUUUGAAAGACAGAAUCCGUGAAAAAAUUAAUUUUGAAGCAAAACGAGGAGAUUAGUGUGUGAGAGUGACCUCACUGCAGGUUACUGGACUCGGAAAGCCGCAACAGAAUAUAUGGCCCGGCCCAAUAAGUCAAUUGACUGGAGACCCAAUUACGGUCCAAUUGCGGCCCAAAUGUCGGAGGUACGGUCACCGCCUCGUGCGCAUAGCCUCGACGUUUUGUAAGCAACGACCCACCAAAAAAAUUAAUUUGUACCAAACGGGACUAUUAGUGCUGUGGGGUGAGCGCACCGGGGGUGACCGGACUCGCAAAGCCGCGUCAAAAUAUAGCCCGGCCCAAUAAGUCAUUUGUCGAGCGCCAGAAUCAAUGCGGCCCAAUAAGUCAUCUGUCCGGCGAUACGAUCACCGCCGUGUAGGCAUACCCCGACGCUUUGUAAGCAACACUCCACCGAAAAAAUUAUUUUGAAGCAAUCGAGGCGAUUACUGCGGGUGGGUGGGUGAGUGCAUUGACGGUGACCAGACUCGCAAAGCCGUAUCCGAAUACAGGCCGGCCCAAUACGAUCAGACCAAUUCUCGGUAUCAUAUAGGCCGAGUUAAAUUGACAGGCCUAAUAGAUCGAAUGGGCCUUACAUCGCUAAAGCGACAGCACAAACGGUCCAGGCCCAACGAAGUGGGCCCUUCUUAAGAGCCCAAACUGGGUCAUUUUGAUAACACGUCUGAACCUAUUACCUAUAUAGGACCUCAAAGGAUUUGCAUUAAUUAUGUGCAUAAUUUUAUAUAAUUAUUAUUUAUUUUUGCAUUGGAGUUGCAUAAGGAGAUGUUAGCCUUCGUGCAGGGUGUCUCGAUUCCAUAAUUCUUACAGUUCUCUAAAUUAAUACAUUACUAUACUUCGAAGUGCUAAAAUCCAAUGUUCCUUCUCUCUGCAUGUAGUUUUAAUUUGGUUUUAAUUUGAUUUGAAAUAUAUCAAAUUCACUCGAUAGCUAAGUGGAUAAUCUCAAAGGAAUUCCUAUUUUAUCUGAUGAAAGCAUGUUAAUGCGCUCAAACAAAAGUUAAAAAUCAAAAAGACCUAUUUUUGUUGGCGUUGCAGCACGAGAUGCAGUAGCAUGCCACUCAGCAGCUUUACAUUAGCAGGAGUACAGCAUGGCGCACGCUGCUGAGAUAUAAUGUUCUGAUGGCUAUAAAUAGUUACAAGUCGCAAAAGCAGAAGAUGAAGUAUCACCCUACAGUAUCAAACAACUGAUCAGUUUCAAAUUUAUCUCACGAGAAUCUGAAAUUUAAAAAGCAAAAGAUGCAAAACUUAACAAAUUCAGUACCCGAAACUUGAAUCAGAAUGCAGUAAACUUUGGUCUUUGUGAAUAGUUCGAGCCCAACAACUACCUACUCCAUGCGAUCAUCACGACACCCACAAAAAAUUGGCACCACCUCCUCUAUAGUUUUCUUUUUUUGUUUUUUUUUUUUUUUGCAUCCUCAGAAUCUCUCUCCGAAACGGAAGAAAACUGCUCCGGUACCAGAGUUAUGGUCCACGGCAUACUCUGCUCUCACCAAUCCCAAUUUAGCACCAACACCGUAUGAUGAGCCCUGUCCAGCCCGACGGAAAAACUCUGUAGGGUUUCCUUUGACGUCCUUCGAACUGCCUAGGUCGGUCCCAUGCUCUGCAAAUAAGUAGACAUGGGUGUUUCUAACAGGGAUCCGCAGCUCACCAGCAAGCUUAGCAAGAACAGAUAAAAAGUCAGAUUCAUACACAGUAAAUUCUUAACAAUGCAAUGUAAAAUCUUUAUACUGUAGAUGUAAGUGCAUGUAAAAUCAUCUAUUUACACAUAGAUGCCUGCAAAAUUAGAAUUUUAAUUUAUGCAUUUUAAAAUCUUGAUUUCUCGUUAGUUUGGGGUUGAGGCCUUGUUUAAAAAAGGCUUGGUGACAGAAAACCAACUUCCCCAUAAAUUGAAUGACUUGCUCAGGGUAAUUUUGUGCGAAAUUGCAUCCUAAAGGGAUAUGUACCAAAAUGAAGUUUUAUUGGAGCAUGUAUGUAACUAUAUUAUUUGCGGGAAGAUGGAUGCAAAAUGCCCAGUCCAUUAAAUUCAUGCAUGCUCGAGAGAUCUCUCAGGCUUACCUCCAGGAUGUUCCUGCAAGCACCCAAUUCUCCCAUGUUGUAGCCUCUUACUGAGUAGGGCCCACCGAGAGUGAAAGCAUCAUAGCUUGGGAGGUCUCCUACACAGCCUCCAUAAUGUCCAUGGAGGACCAACACAGGUGGUGGCGGUUUGUUAGCACCUUCCUCUACUUUCUUCAAUUGGAUAAAGCGAGUCAAGGUGAGUUGAUGACGAUUGAAGAACGGAAAAUUGCUGCCAAUGCCAAGACCUUGGUCCAACUGUAGUAAAAAUGUCGAGCAAGGUCACUAUAUGAUAUACACUAUUCCAUUGUUUCAUACGAUAAAUACACAAAUUUUCCAUUACUUGGAUCUGCAAUCAAUAUUCAUAUGAAGAGGAAUCAUGCCUGCUUCACAGAAUUCACAUAAAUUAUGAACGAAAGUCAUUUAACAUAUACAAAGGAAUCAUGCCUAUCAUCACAAAUCUAUAUAUCACAGUUUUACAUUUCCUAGCAAGAAUCUAGACUCAAAUGAUUGAGGCACACUAACUUAUUGGCGAUUGACUGAUAUUCAUCUAGUGAUGUAGCCGCUUGUUAGCAUGGAUUGGUACAUGAAAAAGAAGCAAUAAAUACCUGGAAAACAUCUCUCUCACCAACAACUGUUCCAUUUACAAAUUUUGUAUUGUCACGAGUAAUAUUUGCUUGUGCGAACGCCAUGCGGUCUGUACCAGUGCCACUUAGGGUGGUCGGAGGUCCAUCCAUGCUUAAGCCUCCACUAGGCAGUGCUCGAGAUCCGUGAGUACAGAUGCUACUGGUUUCAUCACGUGUAAUGAUCUCUUCCAUCACCAGUCCAUAAGUGAAUUUGCUUUGCCUUGUGAAGCUCUGAAAAUGGAACAAGUGGACACUAUGAAUUGAAGACUGCAGAAAACACCCA